rnacentral:other from 1 species
AUACCUCUGCUGUGUGCGUAAAGGGUAUUUGAAAAGAACCUACGAGAUAGAACAGGGGGGCUGACUUUGGUGGUGUAUGAUAUGCCUUGCCGUAGAUGUUGGGCUUAAGGAAAUCAGAAACUGCCGGGAAGCCACCCACCUAAAAAAUUAGGUUCGCAGUUAAAGUUCCCCUUACGGCAUAUGCGGAGGUAUU